rnacentral:tRNA from 1 species
UUAGUUAAAGCCAAAAAGAGGCAUUUCAUUGUUAAUGAAAAAAUUAGAUCUUGAUCUUAACUAAA